AGUGAACGCUGGCGGUAGACCUAACACAUGCAAGUCGAACGGCAGCACAGUAAGAGCUUGCUCUUACGGGUGGCGAGUGGCGGACGGGUGAGGAAUACAUCGGAAUCUACUUUUUCGUGGGGGAUAACGUAGGGAAACUUACGCUAAUACCGCAUACGACCUACGGGUGAAAGCAGGGGAUCUUCGGACCUUGCGCGAUUGAAUGAGCCGAUGUCGGAUUAGCUAGUUGGCGGGGUAAAGGCCCACCAAGGCGACGAUCCGUAGCUGGUCUGAGAGGAUGAUCAGCCACACUGGAACUGAGACACGGUCCAGACCCCUACGGGAAGCAGCAGUGGGGAAUAUUGGACAAUGGGCGCAAGCCUGAUCCAGCCAUACCGCGUGGGUGAAGAAGGCCUUCGGGUUGUAAAGCCCUUUUGUUGGGAAAGAAAAGCAGCAGGUUAAUACCCCGCUGUUCUGACGGUACCCAAAGAAUAAGCACCGGCUAACUUCGUG
rnacentral:rRNA from 1 species